CAGGGAAUCUUGCGCAAUGGGCGAAAGCCUGACGCAGCGACGCCGCGUGAGGGAUGAAGGCCUUCGGGUCGUAAACCUCUUUUAUGGGGGAAGAGCAAGGACGGUACCCCAUGAAUAAGCCACGGCUAACUACGUGCCAGCAGCCGCGGUAAUACGUAGGUGGCAAGCGUUGUCCGGAAUUACUGGGCGUAAAGGGCGAGUAGGCGGUUGGAUAAGUCUUUGGUGAAAUCUUCCGGCUCAACUGGAAGGGGUCCGAAGAAACUAUUCAACUCGAGGGGCGCAGAGGAGAGCGGAAUUCCUGGUGUAGCGGUGAAAUGCGUAGAUAUCAGGAGGAACACCCGUGGCGAAGGCGGCUCUCUGGGCGCUACCUGACGCUGAGGCGCGAAAGCGUGGGGAGCAAACCGG
rnacentral:rRNA from 1 species